CGUCUAUAUUAUUUAUCAGUUUCCUUUGUUCUACGUUUACGGGAUAUUUUUCCUCUCUCAUCACCACCAUCUCUUGAAUCGCCAGUUAUAUUAGUGAUAUGCAGCCAGAGAUUAGAUAUUAUCAUCCACUAAAAUACCACGUACUAAUGAGGCGGAAAUUCUCGCUUGUUUAUGAGAGAUCGAUUUUCCUCUGGCUCUAGAGAUAGUUCCGAACGUGUACAUUGUAGUAGAGUCGAUAAAAAUGGAUUUUCUUCUCUCUGACGUCAUCUUUGCUCUGAAAAUCUAAGUUUAACUAAGGGUGGGGUCCGGGGAAAAAAUAAGAAAAUUUGCAAAAAUCACCCAUGCCCUCCAGGGCCGUAAGUGAGUCCGUAACUAGACGCGAUAAU